rnacentral:rRNA from 1 species
AGAGUUUGAUCCUGGCUCAGAGCGAACGUUGGCGGGAUGUUUUAGGCAUGCAAGUCGAGCGGCAACAUGGGUGCUUGCACCUGAUGGCGAGCGGCGAACGGGUGAGUAGCGCGUAGGUUAUCUGCCUCGCAGACUGGGAUAGCCACCUGAAAUGGUGAUUAAUACCGGAUAUCUCCUUCGGGAUGAAAGGCGCGUUGGCGCCACUGUGAGAUGAGCCUGCGUCCUAUUAGCUUGUUGGUGAGGUAAUGGCUCACCAAGGCGACGAUAGGUAGCCGGCCUGAGAGGGUGAUCGGCCACAUUGGGACUGAGAUACGGCCCAGACUCCUACGGGAGGCAGCAGCUAAGAAUAUUCCGCAAUGGGCGAAAGCCUGACGGAGCAAUCCCGCGUGAGUGAUGAAGGCCUUCGGGUUGUAAAGCUCUUUCAGCAGGGAAGAAUAAGGCAGAGAGGAAAUGCUCUGCCGAUGACGGUACCUGCAGAAGAAGGACCGACUAAUUACGUGCCAGCAGUCGCGGUAAUACGUAGGGUCCGAACGUUGCUCGGAAUCACUGGGCGUAAAGGGUGCGCAGGCGGCCUGGUAAGUUGGUGGUGGAAUCUUGAGGCUCAACCUCAAGCGUGCCAUUGAUACUGCCGGGCUAGAGUCGCAAUAUAGGCAGCGGGAAUUCCUAGUGUAGGAGUGAAAUCUGUAGAUAUUAGGAGGAACACCAAUGGCGAAGGCAAGCUGCUGGGUAGCGACUGACGCUCAUGCACGAAAGCCAGGGGAGCGAAUGGGAUUAGAGACCCCAGUAGUCCUGGCCGUAAACCAUGUGCACUAGUUCUACGGAGUAUCACGAUUCUGUGGAACAAAGCAAACGCGUUAAGUGUACCGCCUGGGGAGUAUGCACGCAAGUGUGAAACUCAAAGGAAUUGACGGGGGCUCGCACAAGCGGUGGAGCAUGUGGUUCAAUUCGAUGAUAAGCGAAGAACCUUACCUGGGCUUGAACGUGUAGCGACAACCGGUGAAAGUCGGUCUUCCUUCGGGACGCUAUGCGAGGUGCUGCAUGGCUGUCGUCAGCUCGUGUUGUGAAAUGUUGGGUUAAGUCCCGCAACGAGCGCAACCCUUGCCCUAUGUUGCUACGCGCGUUUUUGCGCGCAGGACUCUUAGGGGACUGCCCCGGUCAACGGGGAGGAAGGUGGGGAUGACGUCAAGUCCUCAUGGCCCUUAUGUCCAGGGCUACACACGUGCUACAAUGGGAUGUACAGAGGGACGCGAACUCGCGAGGGCAAGCAAAUCCCAAAAAACAUUCCUCAGUUCGGAUUGCAGUCUGCAACUCGACUGCAUGAAGUUGGAAUCGCUAGUAAUCACAGAUCAGAAUGCUGUGGUGAAUACGUUCUCGAGCCUUGUACACACCGCCCGUCACACCACCCGAGUCGAAUCCACCUGAAGUCGCUGUACCAACCGCAAGGAGGGAGGUGCCGAGGGUGAGUUUGAUAAGGAGGGUGAAGUCGUAACAAGGCG